rnacentral:rRNA from 1 species
GAUGAACGCUGGCGGCGUGCCUAAUACAUGCAAGUCGAACGGAGGUCCGCAAGGAUCUUAGUGGCGAACGGGUGAGUAACGCGUUGGUGACCUGCCCCAAAGAGAGGGAUAACAGACCGAAAGGUUUGCUAAUACCUCAUGUUGUCAUCGUUUUUAGAAAGCGAUGAUUAAAGGAGCAAUCCGCUUUGGGAGGGGCCUGCGUCCCAUCAGCUAGUUGGUAGGGUAAUGGCCUACCAAGGCGUCGACGGGUAAGGGACCUGAGAGGGUGGCCCCUCACAAUGGAACUGAAACACGGUCCAUACACCUACGGGUGGCAG